GACAGAGGGUGCAAACGUUGUUCGGAAUUACUGGGCGUAAAGCGCGUGUAGGCGGGUCGUUAAGUGUCCGAGUGAAAUCCCACGGCUCAACCGUGGAACUGCCGGGCAUACUGGCGAUCUUGAGGCAUUCAGGGGCGAGCGGAACAAAUGGUGGAGCGGUGAAAUGCGUAGAUAUCAUUUGGAACGCCAAUGGUGAAAACAGCUCGCUGGGAAUGAUCUGACGCUGAGACGCGAAAGCCAGGGGAGCGAACGGG
rnacentral:rRNA from 1 species